UGUAGUUAUGCCUCUAAAGUCUGGCAUUUUCCUCCCAAGCCCUGACUAAUACUUUAUUUGCCUGCACAGGUCUGUGAAGUGCACUGCUGUCAGACUCCCACUAAGAACACUUGAACUGCUCAUGAAGCGGGGGGCCUUAACUGUUUACUUCUUUUGGAAGCCUCCAUCUGGCCCAUCUAUCUUUAUUCUCCCAGGAUCCCAGGAGGUGCCAAGAAGAAAAGGAGCAAUCUACCAUCUGCUAGGACAUCUGUUUCAUAAGACCUAUUCCUUAUUUACAGCCA
rnacentral:lncRNA from 1 species